UGUUGUCCCGGUGAGAGAGUUGAGGCGGUCCCCUUAGGCAAAUCCGGGGGGGCAACGUUGAGACUAAGGACGAGCCCUUUAGGGCGAAGCUGCUGAUAUCACGCUUCCAGGAAAAUCUCCUAAGCUUCAGCUUGUGCAGACCGUACCGUAAACCGACACAGGUGGGUAGGAUGAGAAUUCUCAGGCGCUUGAGAGAACUCGGGUGAAGGAACUAGGCAAAAUAGCACCGUAACUUCGGGAGAAGGUGCGCCCCUUUUGGUUAAUAGCUGAGGGGGGCCUCAGAAACCAGGCCGCUGCGACUGUUUAUCAAAAACACAGCACUCUGCAAACACGAAAGUGGACGUAUAGGGUGUGACGCCUGCCCGGUGCUGGAAGGUUAAUUGAUGGGGUCAGCCGCAAGGCGAAGCUCUUGAUCGAAGCCCCAGUAAACGGCGGCCGUAACUAUAACGGUCCUAAGGUAGCGAAAUUCCUUGUCGGGUAAGUUCCGACCUGCACGAAUGGCGUAACGACAGCGGCGCUGUCUCCACCCGAGACUCAGUGAAAUUGAAAUCGCUGUGAAGAUGCAGCGUUCCCGUGGCAAGACGGAAAGACCCCGUGAACCUUUACUAUAGCUUUACACUGAACGUUGAGUUCUUCUGUGUAGGAUAGGUGGGAGGCUUUGAAGCGCAGGCGCUAGCUUGCGUGGAGCCAUCCUUGAAAUACCACCCUGAAGUGCUUGACGUUCUAACCUGGGCCCGUAAUCCGGGUCGGGGACCGUGUAUGGUGGGUAGUUUGACUGGGGCGGUCUCCUCCCAAAGAGUAACGGAGGAGCUCGAAGGUACGCUCAGCGCAGUCGGACAUCGCGCACUGUGUGCAAAGGCAUAAGCGUGCUUGACUGCAAGAUCGACGGAUCAAGCAGGUAGGAAACUAGGACUUAGUGAUCCGGUGGUUCUGUAUGGAAGGGCCAUCGCUCAACGGAUAAAAGGUACUCCGGGGAUAACAGGCUGAUACCGCCCAAGAGUUCAUAUCGACGGCGGUGUUUGGCACCUCGAUGUCGGCUCAUCACAUCCUGGGGCUGUAGUCGGUCCCAAGGGUAUGGCUGUUCGCCAUUUAAAGUGGUACGCGAGCUGGGUUCAGAACGUCGUGAGACAGUUCGGUCCCUAUCUGUCAUGGGCGUUGGAGAUUUGAGAGGGGCUGCUCCUAGUACGAGAGGACCGGAGUGGACGAAUCUCUGGUGUUCCGGUUGUCACGCCAGUGGCAUUGCCGGGUAGCUAUAUUCGGAAGCGAUAACCGCUGAAAGCAUCUAAGCGGGAAGCGCGCCUCAAGAUGAGAUCUCCCGGGGCACAAGCCCCCUAAAGGAACCAUCAAGACUAGGUGGUUGAUAGGCAGGGUGUGUAAGCACAGCAAUGUGUUGAGCUAACCUGUACUAAUGAUCCGUGUGGCUUGACC
rnacentral:rRNA from 1 species